GAAAAGUUGCUUUUGUUCUUUUGGACAUCCUUUUCAUUACAAAAAUAGGUUUCCCUAUCGGUGAAGGUGAAGAAAGAUGAGAAAAUAAUGUUUUUAAAAAUUAAAAAUAAUAUAUUUCUAAAGGUGACAAGGGAAGGCAAAAAAAAAAAAGGAAUAAAAUGGUAAGUAGAGAGUAGAUUUUGCGCGUGAAGAAAACAUACAUAACACAGGAACUUUCUUCUGCGUCUUCUCUGCUUGUGUUACAUUUCUGCAACAAAGCUCUCAACUUUUUGCCAUAAAUGAGUGACCCCAAGUAUGCAUAUCCCUACCCUGCUCAAGGACAAGGGUACUAUCAAGGUCCUCCGGUGAUGGCACCACCGCAAUAUUAUGCUGCUCCACCACCCAGAAGACAAACUGGAUUCCUUGAAGGAUGUCUUGCAGCUCUGUGUUGUUGCUGCCUCAUAGACGAGUGCUGCUGUGACCCUUCGAUCAUAUUUAUCAGUUGACAGCAUCAAAGUUUGAUUACUACAAAUGGAAAAAUUAAAUAAAGAAGCUACAAAAAUAUGCAUGCACUAUCAGGCUUUAUUAGUUAGCAUAGUAUAUGUAUGUACUGUAUAUUUUUACUUGAUAUGAGUAUCGUGUAUUUUCCAACUUGGUCACUGUUGUGUUUGGUGUGUGUGUGGUUUAUCCUCUCUUACUGAAGAUUAUUGGUUCUUCAGUGAUUUGAUCUGCAAUGUCGAAAUUAGAAACCAAACUAUUCUUGUGCAAUUACAAAGAAAAAAAUUGUUGUGCAUUCAAUUGGGUUGGUCCAUCACGGGUUCCCCAUUUGUCUUAGGUCUAAUCAUUUUGAAUUUGGAGUGUGGAAAUUAGUAACUUUGGCAUACAGCCAAUGUGACUUUAUCAAAAGCUGAGUGUGACCCUAUAGUUUUCUGCAACAAUUUUUUUUCUUUC